UCGCACCCGAAAGAAUCGAGUACACCGCGGACGUGUGUCGUUCAUUACCGCGUCGAACCCCACGCGCGGGAUGUCGGUCGCGUCGAUACCGACGUGCCCUCUUCCGCCGCGCGGGCUCGACCGUCACAGUACCCCACGGCGCAGUGCGCGCCAAGGAAAACAUAAGUAACCGACCGUGCGGCCGUCGAGACCCGUCCCCGUUCGCGGUGAGCGGGCUCGGCCGGUUCGCACGAUCGGAAGAUGGCAUAUGUCGUCUCAACACGAAAC
rnacentral:misc_RNA from 1 species